CGGCUCUGAGGCACAGGGGCGGGGGUGCCCGGAGCUGCCCGGCGGCGCCUGAGGCGGACGCUGGGCUGUCCCCGGCGCCUUGACGGCUCGACGGGAGGAGGCGACGCUCGCUUCGUGGAGGAGCCCGGCCACGCACAGGUAUUCAAGAUGAUUCAGUAGUCUCAACGUGGAUCAGCUCAGAUCCCGACAGUUAAGCGUGAUAGCGGGGGACACUGUCUUCGUACCUGGAACGCCGGAAGAACCCGCACUGCCACAGAAGGAAAGGAACGGUUUAGCUGUAAGUUGCUGCCAAAGUACUACAACUGCAGAGGCAGUGAAUUCUUCCUUCACACAAAUAUACAGUGAGAAGACAUUUUACAUGAACAAAUGAAUGAGCCCAUCCUGUUCUCAUUAAAGCAUCGAAAGGUUGUUUAAAAUAGCUGCCAGAGACAAAAGAGGGAGAGAGAUACAAUGAAAUAGGACCUGUGAAAUAGGACCUCUGUGUUCAGUUCAGCUAAAGGAUACUGAAGGGCCAGGAUGAUUUGCUCUUCUUCCAAGAAGUUACUUGGCAAUAGAAGUGAGUACCAGAAAUUACUGAUCUGCCGAGAGCGUAGUUCAUCUUCAUUUACAGUAUUUAUGGACUAUGAACACUUGAAACGGAAGAAGUAUUCUGCAAAGUAUUCAAGCAGUAUUCUAGGGAGUAUAAUGAAGUUCCAUUCCCACCCUUGCAAACUGGACAUAGUGACCCUCAAAACAAAACAAAACCAAAAAAAAAACCAAGCCAACCAACAACAAACAACCAAACAUUUUUAAGAAGGAAGUGAAAUAGUAGUAAUGAAAGAGAAAACAAAGAAAGUAAUUGUUUUCAAAUCACCAGGUUUUUUUUUAAACCCAGAAUUUAUUUAUCUAUACAUCUUUUUCCUUCUGCACAUAUUAUAUGUGCCAAUGGACAGCCCCAGAAAUAAAAAUAUAUAUUAAUAUCAGGAAUUCCUAAUCUUUCCUGUCAGCAGUGCAAUCUUUGAAGGGCCUUGCAACUUUCCUGUGUACCCAACACCCCAGUAAUAGCAAGGGAAAGGAAGAUGGAUAGUAGCCCUGUCAUUGCUUUAAUUUUGUUCAAGAAUAAUUAUAUAUAGUAAAGGUUAUUUCAUUACCUGUGCUGGCUUUGUAUUAAUUCCAUUCUCGGAUCCAUGAUAAAUGUACACUUUGCCAAAACCAUCAUAUGGAGCCCCUACUGCAAUAUCUGGUGAAAAUAAGUUGUAACAUAUAAAAUCAUUCUUGCUCUUUCUGCAGCAUGCAAUCAAAGGGUAAGACGUUGCAAGUCUGGCAUUGGCCAGACAAUCUCACACAUUUUAACUGCCAUUGUUUUCCAUUUACCUGGAUAUCCAUCCUGAUUAAUGUCCCCAACAUUUUCCACUGCAAGCCCAAACAUGGAGUCAGUGGUUCCGUUUAGGCGAAGAGGCUUCACCCCUGCCCAUUUGCCUUGGCGGUUCAUGUAGACGUACACGGCACCCCCGAUAUCCCCGCUCCUGUCAAAGUACUGCGGGGCCCCAACAACGAUGUCCUGCCAGCUUAGAAGUAAAAGAAAAAAAAAGGCAAUGCUUUUGUAGAAGAACUCUGAAGAAUAACCGCUCAGACUGUGAUCUCAAGAUAGCUGCCCAGAGAGCUGCUGAAGAAAGACUAACAUGUGCAUUAACUGGUUAGGCAUCCACAGCCCCACUGACACUGCAAGCUGGUUUAUUCCCUUGAGAGCAUACAAACACCUUCUGUGGUCUUCUUGAGGUAUGAGACUAGUUUCUUGUUUCUUUGUUUACAAUAAUUGUUUAAAUAAAACUCUUUAUUAGAAAGGUAGAUUCUAUCCUGAUUGAUUCUCAAGAGGCUCACCAUUUCCUCCAGGAAAACAUGGAAGGUGGGCUUUGUCAUUCCUUAUAUUUCUAACGUGAAAAACCAAAGCAGAAAUAAACAAGAUCCCUAUCCUUUAUCAUACAAGCAGCAGGAGUUAACCACAGACAUACCCAUCACUGUUGAGGUCCACAACAGCAACAUCAUAGCCAAAAGAGGAGGCCAGCCCUUCUCCUUCAAACAUGUGCUCCAGGGAAAGUGCUCUCUGAUUUUUUUCUUUUUUUAGUAAAACAACUGCUCCGCUGUGGUUUGCUCUUGGGGCACCAGACACAAAAGUCAUCUCAUCCUGGGAGACAAUUCCUUUACCAGAGUCCAAAGAGAAACCUUUAACAGAGAAAGAAAUAAAGUAUAAAUUAACUAAGCAACAGCUUACAUUGUAAUAUGAAAAAAUAAACAUUUCCCCAGCUAUAUUAAAGUGGUAUAUGGAAUACAAGUUUUGUCUAAAAUACAGUGUGCUGUGGCUGGGAAUUCCCCAUUUCUGUUUGCACUGGUGGAUGCGUAUUUGCAAGUCAAGACUUUUUUAUGUUCCCACAAACAUUCCUCCAUACAUUACAGUUAGUAUUUCCCCACAAGACACAGUACUUCAUUGCUCACUUGGACCUGCUUUUCACAGACACCAAACAUGUACAGCUUGGACACAAUUACAGCUUUACCACUUGAAUAUAGCUUGAGUACUUCACCUCUGGCAAAAUGAUCAGAAAACCUCCUAAGUAAAGUCAGUAUCGUUGUAUUACAAACAUGCAAACUGUUCUGCACAAGCAUUCUCAUAUGAAUGAUGUAUGCAGUAUUUGAGAAUCAGCUUACACAGUAAUGGUGAAAUGAGCAAUUUUAAGUUAAUGCAGCCCUAAAAAUUACAUAUUCAAAUUAAUUUAGUCUUACAAUACAUUUUAAAAUAUGAAAAACCAAGUUAAAAGACAAUACUGCAUAUACCAAUAUAGCCAGUAAAGGCCAAAGUAGAAAAAUGCCCACUUUGCAAGGAAGGAAGAUACCAGCCAGAUGGGAGUCUCCCUCUGAAACACUUCACCACUACUAUGGAAACUCUCAAUUACAGCAAUUCACAAUGAGACAGUUCCAGAAAAAACUGAGGGAGUCUCAGCUGGGGAAGGAUGAGAAGGUUUGGAGAAAUGCAUGACAAAUCAGCAUUUCUCUGAAGCCUUCUUACUUUACUGUCUCCCCUUUAUCUGAAUCCCUGUUUCUUUCAUGCUUUACUUAUAUUUGAUAUGAGAGGGGAUAGAGGGGAGAGGAUCAUGACAAAGGUCUGGAGAUUAAGUCUGACCAGAUGCUGCCACCUCAAGUGGUCACAAACCUAAGUAGCUAUUCAUCAUUACAUCCACUGACUUGUCCACCUGUAUGCUGGGAGGCAAUGUUUUGUACACAAACUGAUCUGGAUGAGUAUCAGAUACAGCUGUCAAAAAUAGAAGACCUAUAAAUAUGAGUGAAAGAUUGAAGAGAAAAAAAUAGUAGUUAAGCAAAGCACCUAUUACCACAUUUGCUUACGGUCUAAACAGACAGAACAGUAAUGCCUAGGAUGAGCUGGCUUGCCUGGAAGUGGUUCUGAUUAUUACAAAUCAAGGCAGCAUUUACAUUUAGGAGAGAAAUGCAUUGGUUACAUAACUGGAAAAAGUAUAUGACUGUUCACAGCAAAAGGCAUCGGCCUCAGUACUUCUCAAUGCUUAUUCCACCAGAAGAUGCUAUCAGCUUGUCUAAUCUAAGUUCUUAGGAUGAUUUUUCUAGUUACCUUUACACCAGUAAUUACUGCUGAUAUUUAACAGAAGUUUAUGUUCUCUUUCUCCUAACAUAUAUGUAGCUCUAAGUUUGCUCUCUUCUUGACGUGCUUUUUUACUUUUUACAUUAGCAAUGCCCUUCCCAUCUAUUCAGCUUUCCAUCACUCACACAGAAAUUCCAGUCUCAGGUUACCAAAACUCUAUUUGUUGCAUAUGCCAAAAGCAGUGGAUCAACACACCACAGAAAUCUGCACUGGAACAGAAGGAUUCUUUACACUUAAUGCCUUUCCAAAAACCAAGCAUAGCCUUUUCAGUGGAUCUCCCUGGUGGUCAGAAAGGUCAUUGGCCUAAGGACAUAUUCCUGCUUUCUGACUGCACAAAGAGCAAGAGAUUCACCUUCUGCAACACACACACAAGUAAAAUAUAAACAGUACACUUAUAUUAUGGCAUUUUAAAGGUCUGUUAAAAGCCACCGGAGUUUUAAAAAUGUGAAGAAUAGAAGAAUUGCACUUACCUACCAGGAGAGAAAAUCUACAACCUUAACAGCAAAACCUCAAAUUUUUAUAAACUUUCUGAUACUACAUAGCAGAGACUGUGCAAAUAAGGACUACAGACCCAUUCAUUGUACUGACCCAUCACAGUGAUUAUAAUCACUCCCGGAGAUUCCAUAGGCCCUUGGCACAGCUCUUGGAUCUCACAUUACAGCAGCAGCUCUUCUAGGUACCUCAGCAGUAUCAUCUUACACUUAAAACUGGCCCAUAAAUGUGGAGGGAGGCUGUGAAUUAUCCCAAAGAGUUAACAUGUUACAGGGUCCACAAUGGAACAUCUGCUCCCAUUUCUGAUCAUCACACCCGGCUGGGACCACAAAUGUUUAAGAGACCUAAAGAGAUUUACCACAUGUACUUAAUCCUACCUAAGUAACUGUUAGCUGGAACAGGAACUAGAUUCUUAUCCUGGCGGCUCUCAUCACCAACUUCGUAAGGCCCAUCAUCAAAGAUACCCAGAUCAUAAAAUGUCUGAUUCUUUUGCUC